UACGAAGGGGGCUAGCGUUGUUCGGAAUUACUGGGCGUAAAGGGCGCGUAGGCGGCCUGUUAAGUCGAACGUGAAAUCCCCAGGCUCAACCUGGGAACUGCGUCCGAUACUGGAUGGCUUGAAUCCGGGAGAGGGAUGCAGAAUUCCAGGUGUAGCGGUGAAAUGCGUAGAUAUCUGGAGGAAUACCGGUGGCGAAGGCGGCAUCCUGGACCGGCAUUGACGCUGAGGAGCGAAAGCUAGGGGAGCAAACGGG
rnacentral:rRNA from 1 species